CUCAUGAGGAAGCUGUUCUGAAAAGCUCUGUUUUAACCUUUGGCAAUGCAGCCGUAACCUUGAGUUUGAGAAGCACUGCUCUGAAAUCCUGUCUUCCAUUAGCUUUGGAGCCAGCAUCCUUCUUUACCAUGAGAGAGAAGGCAGAGGGGCAGCACAGACGUGAAGCCAUAUAAUGUCUACAUCACAGUUGCUUACCCACCAGACACAGACACACCUGGCUUUGCCGAAGAAAACAGAACAAAGCCUUUGGAGACUCGACUUAUUUCAGAGACCACAUCUGUGUGCAAACCAGAACAGGUGGCCAAACAAAUUGUUAAAGAUGCCAUACAAGGAAAUUUCAACAGUUCCCUUGGCUCAGAUGGGUACAUGCUCUCGGCCCUGACCUGUGGGAUGGCUCCAGUAACUUCUAUUACUGAGGGGCUCCAGCAGGUGGUCACCAUGGGCCUUUUCCGCACUAUUGCUUUGUUUUACCUUGGAAGUUUUGACAGCAUAGUUCGUCGCUGCAUGAUGCAGAGAGAAAAAUCUGAAAAUGCAGACAAAACUGCCUAAUCUUCUUACCCCUUGGAAGAAGACUGUUUCCAAAUAAUUUGAACAGCUUGCUGCUAAAUGGGACCCAAUUUUUGGCCUAUAGACACUUAUGUAUUGUUUUCGAAUACGUCAGAUUGGACCAGUGCUCUUCAGGAAUGUG
rnacentral:lncRNA from 1 species